rnacentral:rRNA from 1 species
CACGUAGGGCGCGAGCGUUGUCCGGAAUUAUUGGGCGUAAAGAGCUCGUAGGCGGCCUGUUGCGUCCGCUGUGAAAGCCCGGGGCUUAACCCCGGGUCUGCAGUGGAUACGGGCAGGCUAGAGGUAGGUAGGGGAGAAUGGAAUUCCCGGUGUAGCGGUGAAAUGCGCAGAUAUCGGGAGGAACACCGGUGGCGAAGGCGGUUCUCUGGGCCUUACCUGACGCUGAGGAGCGAAAGCGU